AGCGAACGCUGGCGGCAGGCUUAACACAUGCAAGUCGAACGGGCUUCUUCGGAAGUCAGUGGCAGACGGGUGAGUAACACGUGGGAACGUGCCCUUCGGUUCGGAAUAACUCAGGGAAACUUGAGCUAAUACCGGAUACGCCCUUUUGGGGAAAGGUUUACUGCCGAAGGAUCGGCCCGCGUCUGAUUAGCUUGUUGGUGGGGUAACGGCCUACCAAGGCGACGAUCAGUAGCUGGUCUGAGAGGAUGAUCAGCCACACUGGGACUGAGACACGGCCCAGACUCUUACGGGAGGCAGCAGUGGGGAAUAUUGGACAAUGGGCGCAAGCCUGAUCCAGCCAUGCCGCGUGAGUGAUGAAGGCCUUAGGGUUGUAAAGCUCUUUUGUCCGGGACGAUAAUGACGGUACCGGAAGAAUAAGCCCCGGCUAACUUCGUG
rnacentral:rRNA from 1 species